rnacentral:tRNA from 1 species
GCUCAGUUGUUAAGACAUCCGCCUGGACAUCCAAGGAAUGUGGGUUCAAAUCCCG